GGUUCCUGACCUGAUCACUGUGGUCUGAGUGAGUGUGCAUCUGCCAGACUUAAGGCCUAAGGCUCAAGACUUUAGAUCAGCCACUUAAGCUUAGCAUGCAGAGGGAAUGACUAUAAUGAGUCUGUCAUGAUUAAGUGUGUUUGCAGUGCUUAGAAUUAACUUAGAAUUGUUUGUUUUGAAUUCAUUAUGUCUAUUGCAGUGCCCAGCAUUAAGGAUUGUCAUUUUCUUGAUGAAGAACCUAUAGUGAAAUUGUAUUGCCUGAUUGAGUGAAUAAAGCAUUG
rnacentral:lncRNA from 1 species